rnacentral:pre_miRNA from 1 species
CAUAUACUCCCUCCGUCCGAAAAUACUUGUCCUAGAAAUGAAUGUAUCUAGACUUAUUUUAGUUAUAGAUACAUCCAUUAUAUCCAUUUCUAGGACAAGUAUUUCCGGACGGAGGUAGUAUUAA